CAGCUGAAGAUGCCACCAGAGAGCUGUCACAGAUGGCUGUGCUGCUGGCAAGGGCAAGCUGGAAGAGGAAGAAGCAGCGAGAUCUGGAAUCAUUACUUCAGAUCUAAGCUGCCUGGAACUUAGGGGCUCCUGAUGAUGUCAUCUGCAAUCUGCUUCUGAAAUGGAACUGAACUGCCACCUUCCCGCUGACUCCCGAGUACUGGAGGACUCCCUGUGUGAUACUCCACAUCUUUCAAAACCGGAAUGCACUUCCUGCCCCAGUGAAUUGAUUUGGGUAAAUACUUAAUGUGGAUGACCAUCUACUUGAGCAUGGGUAGCUGCUCGGGAUCCGCAUCCAUGAAGAAAACUGACUCUCUCCCAGAAGCCAUCUUCCUGGGACUGUCUGUCAUAUAUAUGUCACACACACACACACACACACACACACACACA